GAUGAACGCUGGCGGCGUGCUUAACACAUGCAAGUCGAACGGAAAGGCCCUGCUCUUGUGGGGCGCUCGAGUGGCGCACGGGUGAGUAACACGUGAGUAACCCGCCCUUGACUUUGGGAUAACUCCAGGAAAAUGGGGCUAAUACCGGAUAGGAGCUCUUGCUCCACGGUGGGGGUUGGAAAGUGUCGGUGGUGGGGGAUGGACUCGCGGGUUAUCAGCUUGAUGGUGUGGUAGUGGCUGACCAAGGUUUCGACGGGUAGCCGGCCUGAGAGGGUGACCGGCGACAAUGCGACUAAGAUACGGCGCAGACGCCUACGGGAGGCAACAGUCGAGAGCAUUACGGAGUAAGCGCGCGCGAGAUACGACGGCGCCGGGUGCGGAAUAACGGGUUUCGAGUUGAAAACCACUGUGGAAGGAACCAUGGCGUGAGUGACGGUAACGGGUAAGAAAGCAACGGCUAACUACGUG
rnacentral:rRNA from 1 species